rnacentral:misc_RNA from 1 species
CAAAGGCGAUGUUAGGCAGGUGUCAAUUCCAUAAUAUGACAUGAUUGAAUAUGAAAACAAUAUUCAAAUUGAUUUGGCAAGCAUCGACAGUCAAAUCAAAGGCAAGGCCUCUCUAAUAGUAACCACUGAACGAGACAAACUAUUAACUAAUUCACUAUAACAUGGAGCAAACUAAAUUCAAAAUUGGACCAUAAACGGAAAGAAAUCUCAAGAAUAUGCACACACAUGUAUAUGCAAAGUAAUUAAAUCCCAAAGGGAUAGAAACAACACACUGAGAGUAAUCUAUUCCAAAGCAAAUGAUUCGAAAUAUUUUUGACAUAAAAAAUAAUGUUAGAUAAAGAAAGGGAAAGAUAAAAAGAAUAAAAGGAAUAAAUAAAUAAAAUUAGACUAAAAG